UCGUCUGACCAAAUAACAAAGCGCCUCAUGUCAGGUCAGUGAUAUGGGGACCCACGGCCGGACGUACAUCAAUUCUGUCUGUUUAGGAGGGCUGCACACAGAAAGGCGCACUCCCUUAAAGGCUCGACAGGACAGU